UCAAGUGAAUAAGUGCAUGUGGUGGAUGCCUUGGCGAUUACAGGCGAUGAAGGACGUUGUAGCCUGCGAAAAGCCGCGGGGAGCUGGCAAACAAGCUUUGAUCCGCGGAUGUCCGAAUGGGGAAACCCACCCGCAAGGGUAUCGCUGACUGAAUUCAUAGGUCAGCGAGGCGAACGUGGCGAACUGAAACAUCUAAGUAGCCACAGGAAAAGAAAUCAACCGAGAUUCCGAAAGUAGUGGCGAGCGAAAUCGGAGCAGCCUGUGCGUGAUAGUCGAUUGGCUAGUGGAACGGUAUGGAAAGGCCGGCCAUAGAGGGUGAUAGCCCCUUACACGAAAGCGAAUCGGUGGUACUGAGCGUACGACAAGUAGGGCGGGACACGUGUAAUCCUGUCUGAAGAUGGGGGGACCAUCCUCCAAGGCUAAAUACUCGUAAUCGACCGAUAGUGAACAAGUACUGUGAAGGAAAGGCGAAAAGAACCCCGGGAGGGGAGUGAAAUAGAUCCUGAAACCGCAUGCAUACAAACAGUCGGAGCCUCGCAAGGGGUGACGGCGUACCUUUUGUAUAAUGGGUCAGCGACUUACGUUCAGUGGCAAGCUUAACCAGAUAGGGGAGGCGCAGGGAAACCGAGUCCGAAUAGGGCGCCAUAGUCGCUGGGCGUAGACCCGAAACCAGGUGAUCUAUCCAUGGUCAGGAUGAAGGUUGGGUAACACCAGCUGGAGGUCCGAACCGACUAAUGUUGCAAAAUUAGCGGAUGAACUGUGGAUAGGGGUGAAAGGCUAAUCAAACCUGGAAAUAGCUGGUUCUCCCCGAAAACUAUUUAGGUAGUGCGUCAUGUAUUGCUCCAGGGGGUAGAGCACUGUAAUGGUUGUGGGGGCCAUCGCGGCUUACCACGCCAUAGCAAACUCCGAAUACCUGGAAGUAUGAGCAUGGCAGACAGUCGCCGGGUGCUAACGUCCGGCGGCAAGAGGGAAACAACCCAGACCUACAGCUAAGGUCCCAAAGUGUGGCUAAGUGGGAAACGAAGUGGGAAGGCUAAAACAGUCAGGAUGUUGGCUUAGAAGCAGCCAUCAUUUAAAGAAAGCGUAAUAGCUCACUGAUCGAGUCGUCCUGCGCGGAAGAUGUAACGGGGCUAAGCCAUGCACCGAAGCUUAGGCUGCACUCUCUGAGUGCGGGGUAGGGGAGCGUUCUGUAAGCCUGUGAAGGUGUCUCGUAAGGGAUGCUGGAGGUAUCAGAAGUGCGAAUGCUGACAUGAGUAGCGUUAAAGCGGGUGAAAAGCCCGCUCGCCGUAAGCGCAAGGUUUCCUACGCAACGUUCAUCGGCGUAGGGUGAGUCGGCCCCUAAGGUGAGGGCGAAAGCCAUAGCUGAUGGGAAGCUGGUUAAUAUUCCAGCACCGAUUUCUAGUGCGAUGGGGGGACGGAUCGUGGAAGGUUGUCCGGGUGUUGGAAGUCCCGGUUCCUGACCUGUAGGUGUCUGGUAGGUAAAUCCGCCAGGCGUAUGCCGAGGGGUUGGGACGAGCGAGCUUGCUCGCGAAGCAACUGGAAGUGGUUCCAAGAAAAGCCUCUAAGCUUCAGCUAGAAACGACCGUACCGCAAACCAACACUGGUGCGCGAGAUGAGUAUUCUCAGGCGCUUGAGAGAACUCGGGAGAAGGAACUCGGCAAAUUGACACCGUAACUUCGGAAGAAGGUGUGCCUUGGUAGCUUGAGUGUGAACAACACAAGGGCAAAGAGGUUGCAAAGAAUAGGUGGCUGCGACUGUUUAUUAAAAACACAGCACUCUGCAAACACGAAAGUGGACGUAUAGGGUGUGACGCCUGCCCGGUGCCGGAAGGUUAAGUGAUGGGGUGCAAGCUCUUGAUCGAAGCCCCGGUAAACGGCGGCCGUAACUAUAACGGUCCUAAGGUAGCGAAAUUCCUUGUCGGGU
rnacentral:rRNA from 1 species